GACGAACCGUACGACCGUUAUUCGGAAUCACUGGGCUUAAAGGGUGCGUAGGCUGCGCGGCAAGUUGGGUGUGAAAUCCCUCGGCUCAACCGAGGAACUGCGCCCAAAACUGCCGUGCUGGAGUGUGGGAGAGGUGAGUGGAAUUCCCGGUGUAGCGGUGAAAUGCGUAGAGAUCGGGAGGAACACCUGCGGCGAAAGCGGCUCACUGGACCAUAACUGACGCUGAUGCACGAAAGCUAGGGGAGCAAACAGG
rnacentral:rRNA from 1 species